rnacentral:rRNA from 1 species
UACGUAGGGUGCAAGCGUUGUCCGGAUUUAUUGGGCGUAAAGAGCGUGUAGGCGGCCUGACAGGUCUGCUGUGAAAACUCGAGGCUCAACCUCGAGACGUCGGCGGAAACCAUCUGGCUAGAGUCCGGAAGAGGAGAGUGGAAUUCCUGGUGUAGCGGUGAAAUGCGCAGAUAUCAGGAAGAACAGCCCGUGGCGAAGGCGGCUCUCUGGGACGGUACUGACGCUGAGACGCGAAAGCGUGGGGAGCGAACAGG